UACGUAGGGUGCGAGCGUUAUUCGGAAUCACUGGGCUUAAAGCGCGUGUAGGCGGGAGGGCACGUCCGUCGCUGAAAUCCCCCGGCUCAACCGGGGAACGGGCGCGGAUACGACCUUCCUGGAGGGGCGUAGGGGGACCUGGAACUUCCGGUGGAGCGGUGAAAUGCGUUGAGAUCGGAAGGAACGCCCGUGGCGAAAGCGAGGUCCUGGACGCCUACUGACGCUGAGACGCGAAAGCCAGGGGAGCGAACGGG
rnacentral:rRNA from 1 species